rnacentral:rRNA from 1 species
GGAUUAGAUACCCUGGUAGUCCACGCCGUAAACGGUGGGUGCUAGUUGUGGGUUCCAUUCCACGGAAUCCGUGACGAAGUUAACACAUUAAGCACCCCGCCUGGGGAGUACGGUCGCAAGACUAAAACUCAAAGGAAUUGACGGGGGCCCGCACAAGCGGCGGAGCAUGCGGAUUAAUUCGAUGCAACGCGAAGAACCUUACCAAGGCUUGACAUAUACAGGAAAAGCGUAGAAAUACGCUCCCCGCAAGGUCUGUAUACAGGUGGUGCAUGGUUGUCGUCAGCUCGUGCC